rnacentral:lncRNA from 1 species
UUGUGUCUUCUUUUCUUUUGUAGGAAUGAUGCCAGGAAGACCAUUCAUAGAGCGUACUGAGCGAUUUGAAGCCCUGGAUCACCCGACUAGGGUUGAAUUUGCCGUACUCUUUUAAGCCAUCCAAGGAUUGACUAUAGCUGUGGGAUAAAAUAAAGCCAACCCUUGUCCACCUCCUGCCCCAUAAUACUAAACAACUGAAAAGUCUAUUUUCUGUAACAUAGCGGAGUUUAGGAAGCUUAACUCGUUGCAUUUCAAAUGUGGCUCUGAUCCCUUAGUAGUCGAAGCUUGGAUCCUAUAGAUAGGGAAGUU